GCCGGGUGUGGUGGUGCGCGCCUGUAAUCCUAGCUACUUGGGAGGCUGAGGCACGAGAAUCACUUGAACCUGGAAGGCAGAGGUUGCAGUGAGCUAAGAUCAUGCCACUGUACUCCAGCCCAGGCAACAGAGUGAGACUGUGUCUCAA
rnacentral:SRP_RNA from 1 species